rnacentral:snRNA from 2 species
AUACCUUUCUCGGCCUUUUGGCUAAGAUCAAGUGUAGUAUCUGUUUUUAUUAGUUUAAUAUCUGAUAUGUGAGUCAUUGACUCACACGAUAUUAACUCUAUUUUUUUAAGGGGAAGGUCUAUCGAAGUAGCUUGCUACAUGGACCUUCACACGUCGCCCAUGCAUUGCACUACUGCACGGGCCUGGCGCACCCUAC